GACGAACGCCGGCGGCAGGCUUAACACAUGCAAGUCGAGCGCCCCGCAAGGGGAGCGGCAGACGGGUGAGUAACGCGUGGGAAUCUACCCAUCUCUACGGAAUAACGCAUGGAAACGUGUGCUAAUACCGUAUACGUCCUUCGGGAGAAAGAUUUAUCGGAGAUGGAUGAGCCCGCGUUGGAUUAGCUAGUUGGUGGGGUAAAGGCCUACCAAGGCGACGAUCCAUAGCUGGUCUGAGAGGAUGAUCAGCCACACUGGGACUGAGACACGGCCCAGACUCCUACGGGAGGCAGCAGUGGGGAGUAUUGGACAAUGGGCGCAAGCCUGAUCCAGCCAUGCCGCGUGAGUGAUGAAGGCCCUAGGGUUGUAAAGCUCUUUCACCGGUGAAGAUAAUGACGGUAACCGGAGAAGAAGCCCCGGCUAACUUCGUGCCAGCCGCCGCGGUAACAC
rnacentral:rRNA from 1 species